GAAGUAGCUCAGUGGUAGAGCAACCGGCUGUUAACCGGUUGGUCGUAGGUUCGAGUCCUACCUUC
rnacentral:tRNA from 1 species